rnacentral:rRNA from 1 species
GACAGAGGGUGCAAACGUUGUUCGGAAUUACUGGGCGUAAAGCGCGUGUAGGCGGCGUAGCAAGUCGGGCGUGAAAGCCCACGGCUCAACCGUGGAAGAGCACUCGAAACUGCUGCGCUAGAGUUCUGGAGAGGAAGGCGGAAUGCUUGGUGUAGAGGUGAAAUUCGUAGAUAUUCGGAGGAACACCAGAAGCGAAGGCGGCCAACUGGCCCGAUACUGACGCUGAGGCGCGAAAGCGUGGGGAGCAAACAGG